CAUUUAUAUUAUUUUGGGUAGCUUUCUCAGCUGUGAAAAAAAAGGUUUAUGUGUAAGGGAUGUGUAAUCUCAAAAUUAUUGUGUUGCAGGGUUGCACGAGGAUACUAAUAAAUAGGGGUGGAAAUUAUCGCUGUUUGGUAGCGCCAUCUGGCGGAAUUUGAUGUACUUAUUAGGUUAUCAAAGCUUUCUAUAGGUGGAGCUCUUAUUUUGUACACUAAAACACUUUGGCUUAAUACAUUUCAAAAGCCUCCUAAGUAUUUCCUUAAUUUAAUAAAAGCCGCGUACCAUUUAAGGAUUCUUUAAAUCCAAAACCAACAUAUCAAGCCAUAGCCAGAUUAAAAAAAUUAAUUUAUAUUUAUUAAAGCUUUUUAUAGGUGGCGCUGUGGAGUAGAACAAUUUAAAAGGAUGUUUCAAUAUGAUGUUCCAUAAUGAAUACAAUUUAAACGGUUUUAUAAUUAUUAAAGAGCUCAGCACUUAACAAAAUGGAUUAUCAAAUAUGCAAGAUCGCCGCAGCACUUUAUUUAACUUGCUGUUAAUUCAUGACACACUUAAAGGAUUAUUCAUUUAAAUUAACCACAAAUCACAAGAUUGACGGUGUACGAAGGGGACAAAGAGCACAGAUAACGGUAAAAGAAUUUGCGGAUUUAAACAUUUUUAAAAAUCGCACGCACCACAAACCAGGCAAAAAAUUAAAAUGCGUCUGCUGCGUCAAAGGAUUCAGAUCCAGAAUCGCAAUCGGAAUCGGAAUCGAUGCGCGAGUGUGAGGUGCCCGGCAACAACAGAGACGACCGCGAUUUUGUGGUGGGUUAUAGUAGUCGCAUAACGAUUUUCCGAUUUUUCUCCGCUCGCUCGCUCUCUGUUUUCCAAUCGCCCGUCUCUUUCGCUCUGCCUGUUUGACGAUUAUAAACUUUUUGCCACCGACGCCACCGUCGCCGUUUGGUGUUAAUCUCUUUCUGCAGAAGGAAUAUUAUGAGCCACUAUAUAAAAAUGUGGGUCGGGAGUUGACGCCGGUGGUUGACGUUUAGUGGUUGGGCUUCGCAUAAUGCAGCAUCCACACCAAUACACACAGCAGGACUAUUACCAAUACUCACAAAGG